rnacentral:tRNA from 1 species
AGUGUCAAGGGAUGGGAAUCGAACCCACGACCUUCCGCUUACCGGGCAGAUGCCCUGACCACUAGGCCACAUGACC